rnacentral:rRNA from 1 species
GAUGAACGCUGGCGGCGUGCCUAAUACAUGCAAGUCGAGCGAACAGAUGAGGAGCUUGCUCCUCUGACGUUAGCGGCGGACGGGUGAGUAACACGUGGAUAACCUACCUAUAAGACUGGGAUAACUUCGGGAAACCGGAGCUAAUACCGGAUAAUAUAUUGAACCGCAUGGUUCAAUAGUGAAAGACGGUUUUGCUGUCACUUAUAGAUGGAUCCGCGCCGCAUUAGCUAGUUGGUAAGGUAACGGCUUACCAAGGCAACGAUGCGUAGCCGACCUGAGAGGGUGAUCGGCCACACUGGAACUGAGACACGGUCCAGACUCCGACGGGAGGCAGCAGUAGGGAAUCUUACGCAAUGGGCGAAAGCCUGACGGAGCAACGCCGCGUGAGUGAUGAAGGUCUUCGGAUCGUAAAACGCUGUUAUUAGGGAAGAACAAAUGUGUAAGUAACUAUGCACGUCUUGACGGUACCUAAUCAGAAAGCCACGGCUAACUACGUG